GAUGAACGCUGGCGGCGUGCCUAACACAUGCAAGUCGAACGAAGCACCUUUUGAGAUUCUUCGGAUGAUCGAUCGGUGACUGAGUGGCGGACGGGUGAGUAACGCGUGGGUAACCUGCCCUGUACAGGGGGAUAACAGCUGGAAACGGCUGCUAAUACCGCAUAAGCGCACGAGGAGACAUCUCUUUGUGUGAAAAACUCCGGUGGUACAGGAUGGGCCCGCGUCUGAUUAGCUGGUUGGCAGGGUAACGGCCUACCAAGGCGACGAUCAGUAGCCGGUCUGAGAGGAUGAACGGCCACAUUGGAACUGAGACACGGUCCAAACUCCUACGGGAGGCAGCAGUGGGGAAUAUUGCACAAUGGGGGAAACCCUGAUGCAGCAACGCCGCGUGAGUGAAGAAGUAUUUCGGUAUGUAAAGCUCUAUCAGCAGGGAAGAUAAUGACGGUACCUGACUAAGAAGCUCCGGCUAAAUACGUGCCAGCAGCCGCGGUAAUACGUAUGGAGCAAGCGUUAUCCGGAUUUACUGGGUGUAAAGGGUGCGUAGGUGGCAGUGCAAGUCAGAUGUGAAAGGCCGGGGCUCAACCCCGGAGCUGCAUUUGAAACUGCUCGGCUAGAGUACAGGAGAGGCAGGCGGAAUUCCUAGUGUAGCGGUGAAAUGCGUAGAUAUUAGGAGGAACACCAGUGGCGAAGGCGGCCUGCUGGACUGUUACUGACACUGAGGCACGAAAGCGUGGGGAGCAAACAGGAUUAGAUACCCUGGUAGUCCACGCCGUAAACG
rnacentral:rRNA from 1 species